rnacentral:rRNA from 1 species
AGGACGAACGCUGGCGGCGUGCUUAACACAUGCAAGUCGAGCGGAAAGGCCCUUCGGGGUACUCGAGCGGCGAACGGGUGAGUAACACGUGAGUAAUCUGCCCCUAGCUCUGGGAUAGCUCCGGGAAAACCGGGAUUAAUACCGGAUACGACCACUUUAGACAUCUGUUGUGGUGGAAAGAAUUUUGGCUAGGGAUGAGCUCGCGGCCUAUCAGCUUGUUGGUGGGGUAAUGGCCUACCAAGGCGACGACGGGUAGCCGGCCUGAGAGGGCGACCGGCCACACUGGGACUGAGACACGGCCCAGACUCCUACGGGAGGCAGCAGUGGGAAUAUUGCGCAAUGGGCGAAAGCCUGACGCAGCGACGCCGCGUGGGGAUGAAGGCCUUCGGGUUGUAACCCCUUUCAGCAGGGACGAGCGAAAGUGACGGUACCUGCAGAAGAAGCGCCGGCUAACUACGUGCCAGCAGCCGC